rnacentral:lncRNA from 1 species
CAGAAGUCAGGUCGGAUUAAGCCAUAGUACGGAAAAAACUAUGCUACCUGUGAGCCCCGUCCAAGGACGUAAAAAGAAGUCAGGCCACUACAAGUGCCAUAGCUUGAGUAAACUAUGCAGCCUGUAGCUCCACCUGAGG